GAUGAACGCUGGCGGCGUGCUUAACACAUGCAAGUCGAACGGAAAGGCUCCUGCUUGCAGGGGUACUCGAGUGGCGAACGGGUGAGUAACACGUGUGUGAUCUGCCCUGCACUUCGUGAUAAGCCUGGGAAACUGGGUCUAAUACCGGAUAGAACGAUUGUUUGGAUGCCAUUGUGGAAAGUUUUUCGGUGUGGGAUUAGCUCGCGGCCUAUCAGCUUGUUGGUGGGGUAAUGGGUUAACAAGGCGUCGACGGGUAGCCGGCCUGGGAGGGUGUGCGGCCACAUUGGGACUGAGAGAAGGCACAGACACCGAAGGGUGGGAGAUGGGGGGAAGAUUGAACAAGGGGCGCAAGCCUGAUGCAGAGACGCCGCGUGGGGGAUGACGGUCUUAGGGUUGUAGACUAAUUGCGCUAGGGACGAAGCGUGUUGUGACGGUACCUGGAGAAGAAGCACCGGCUAACUACGUG
rnacentral:rRNA from 1 species